rnacentral:lncRNA from 1 species
AUCGAAUCCCACAUCAGACUCCCUGCAUGGAGCCUGCUUCUCCCUCUGCCUGUGUCUCUGCCUCUCUCUCUCUCUCUCUCUCUCUCUCUCUCUCUGUCUCUCAUGAAUAAAUAAACAGGGAUUCCUGGGUGGUGCAGCGGUUUGGCGCCUGCCUUUGGCCCAGGGCGCGAUCCUGGAGACCUGGGAUCGAAUCCCACGUCGGGCUCCUGGUGCAUGGAGCCUGCUUCUCCCUCUGCCUGUGUCUCUGCCUCUCUCUCUCUCUCCCUGUGUGACUAUCAUAAAUAAAUCAAAAUUUAAAAAAAAGAAUAAAUAAAUAAAAUAUUAAAAAAACAGAAACAAAAACAACACUACAUACAAAUUCAAAGUUUUCUUUGACCAGUAUCCCAAAUCCUGGUCCUUUCCCUCCAGAGAUACAUAGUUCUCUUCUGGUUAUGUUUUAAUAUGUUACAGAGAACUUUUCACAUCAGUAGGUUAUAAAGCUAUCUCCCUUUUAUAACUGCUAUAUAGUAUCCUAUUGUAUGGAUGUAUCAGUUUAGACAUUCUGUUGUUGGACACAAGAUUGUUUCCUUUUUUUUUUUUUUGGUUAUUACAAUGUUUCAUUGUUUCAUUGAGAAUUCUUUAUGACUCUUAGUGCUAUAGAGAAGUAUCUUGAUUUUUUUUUUUUUAAAGAGGCUCCACACCCACCAUGGAGCCCAACACAGGCCUUACAACCAUGCAAUUGAGACCUGAGCUGAGAUCAAGAAUCAGAUGCUUAACCAACUGAGUCUCUCUGGGGGAAUAUUAAAAGAUUCAAUUGCUAGGUUACAGAAUAUGUACUUUUAAAUUUUUAAUAUAUACUUAAAAAUAGCCCUAAAAUGAUUUAUAUUCCCACCAACUAACCUUGUGAGGAUACUUUGGACACUUUCCCAUACUUUUGCUAACACUUGGUAUUAGCAGUCUUAAAUUUUUGCCAAAAAGAAAGGUGAAUAAAAGUUAUCUCAUAUAAUAGCACACACAUACACACAUAUAUAUGUAUAUAUAGGUAUAAGUGUCUAUGUAUGUAUAUGCCAUUUGUAUGUCCUCUACUUGAAUUGCCUACUUUGCCCAUAUUUCUUUUCUUUUUUUCUUUUUUUUUUUUAAGAUUUUAAUAGAGAGUGUGAGCACAUGGUGGGGGAGUGGGCAAAGGGAGAGGGAGAGAGUCUUAAGUAGACUGCACUGAGCAUAAACCCAACAUGGGGCUCAAUCCCAUGACCCUGAGAUAACCAUCUGAGCCGAAACCAAGAGUCAGAAGCUUAAUUGAUGUGGCCACCCAGGCGCCUUCUACUUUGCCCAUAUUUCUAUUCAGUUUCCUAGGUAAUUUUCAAAACAUAUUAUGCCAUAUCUUUUUUUUUAAGAUUUUAUUUAUUCAUGAGAGACACAGAUCGAGGCAGAGAUACAGGCAGAGGGAGAAGCAGGCUCCCCAUGAGGAGCCUGAUGCAGAACUCGAUCCCAGGACCCCAGGAUCACAACCUGAGCCAAAGGCAGAUGCUCAACCACUGAGCCACCCAGGCGUCCCCAUAUUAUGCCAUAUCUAUCUUCUAUGUCAUAUUCAUGCAUGUGUGCACACGCACACACACACAAGCUUUGUGCUACACUUUACAUUUAACCUAUUUAAACUAAAUUUUGUUAGAUUUGGUCUAGCCUGCCAAGAUCCCUUUGCAUUCUGAUUCUGUUCUCCAACAUUGUAUUCAUUAUCCCUCCCAUAUUCUUGCUAUCUACAAAUAUGAUGUCAUCAAUGUUCUUUUUUCUAAAAUUUCUAAAAUUAAUUAAUUUUUAAAGUAAUCUCCACACCCAACAUGGGGCUCAAACUCAGCCCCAUGAGUUCGAUGGGUUGAACAUCGUAUCAGGAGUUGAUGUUCUACCAACUGAGCCAGGUGCAAUUGUCAUCAAUAUUAACUAAACCAUUUGUACAAAUAUUGAAAAGGAUAGCCCCCAGGUCAAGAGCCCGGUGGGGCGGGGGGGAGCCCGGUGGAAUGUACUAGAGACCUCUAAUUUGGUAUUAAUCUAUUAUUAGUUAAUGGGAUUCUAGAUGGUGCUCACAUUGCCUUCUCACCCUAUAACAAUCAGGAGCCUGGUUCAGUUGGAACUUGCACCUGCAGGUCCCAUUGUCAGACUUUACAUAAGAGAUGUUAGUCUGAGUUCUAUGUCCCAGGCCAAAAGUAACAAGUAAACUUGGUUUACAACCCCUUUCCUAGACUUCAGUCAUCUGGGUCAGGCUUCUCUAAGGAUCUACUAAUUCCAUUUCAGAACCUAUAGAUUUUCUAAAAACUUAGAAAAUGGGGGCUCCUGGGUGGUCAGUUAAGCAUAUGCCUUUGGUGUGAGUCAUGAUCCCAGGGUCCUGGGAUUAAGCCCUGUGUCAGGCUCCCUGCUCAGUGGGGAGUCUGCUUCUCCCUCUCCUUCUCCCUCUGCUUCUCUACUCUGUGCUCUCACUCUCUCUCUCAAAUAAAUAUAACCUUUAAAAAUAUCUUAGAAAAUUUCAUUCAUUCUUCAAUUUUGUAGCACUUAGUUUAUACUAACUACAGUUCUGGUCUGUCAGAUCCUUUGUGGCUUUCACUUCUUACCCUGUCCAUCUUAGGCUCCAUGGACAAUGAUAUAUUUCAAAACACUUUUAACACACCCUCAAUUACUUUUGUCUUUUGUUCUUUGGUCCCAACUACCUCACCACACCCCAGUUCUAAUUAAUCUAAUCUUUGUGUUUGUUUAUUCAAUAAAUUUAUUAACUGCCUAUUGAUGUGCCAAGAGUUGUUCUAGGUAUUGGGGAUAGAAGUGGGUUUUCUGUACUUGUGGUUUGCCUGCUACUUUUUGGGAUAGCAUUUAUGAGAGUCAGAAUUAGUAUUCAUGUGCGAUUUCCAGCCUUAACUUGGCAGUCUGCAUGGGAAGCUAGGUUCCUUGUGAAUCUUCCACAGCUGUUCUCAAGUACCCCACUCUAGUCCUAGCCUCUGGCUUUUAUAGACUACCUUGUAUUACACCUCAAAAGGAAUGGGGCACCUCAUCUAUAUCUUCUUGCCUAGUUAAGUAGAGAAACUCCUUAUAGAGGCAUUAAUUUUGCCCUCCUAUCUGUAUCUUCUGGAAUACUGUGCCUAUCAAUUGUCCCUUCUCUCUUCUCUCUCUUUUUAAAGAUUUAUUUAUUUAGGGGCUCCUGGGUGGCUCAGUCAGUUAAGCAUCUGCCCCCAGCUCAGGUCAUGAUCCUAUGCAUCAGGUUCCUGCUUAGUGGGAAAUUUGCUUCUCCCUCUUCUUUCCUCAUGCUUGUGCUCAUGCAUGUGUGCGCUCUCAAAUAAAUUUACUUGAGACAGGGAGGGACGAGGAAAAGGGAGGAAAUCCCAAGCAGACUCCCCAAUGAGUGCAGAGCCCCAUCAGGGCUCAGCAUAGGCUCAAUUUCACAGCGCUGAGAUCAUGAUCUGAGCCAAAAUCACUAGUCAGAUGCUUAACUGACUAAGCUACCCAGGUGCCCCCCUUCUCUCCUUUAUAAUUUCUCUCAUACCAGAUCAUUCUCCCUAACCUACAAAUGUUUGAAUCUCUCAUUCUAAAAAAAAUUCUUUCUUCAACCCAACCACCCUCUGCUUUCUCAUCACUCCAAAAUUUCUUGAAAAAUAAAUGUUUAACUACUAUUUACUCUUUAACUCAGUGAAAUUCAGCUUUUGCCCUCAUUAAUUUACAAAAUCUGGGACACCUGGAUGGCUCAGUCAGUUAGGUGUCUGCUUUUGGCUCAGGUCAUGAUCCUAGAGUCCUGGGAUCAAGCCCCACGUAGGGAUCCUUGUUCAGUGGGAGCCUGCUUCUCCCUCUGCCUCUGCCUGCCACUCCCCCUGCUUGUGAAUGCACUUCUCACUUUCUCUGUCAAAUAAACAAAAUCUUUUUUAAAAAAUUUACAAAAUCUAUUCUCAAAAUGACCUAAUUGCUAAGUACAAUGGCCUAUUUUCUGUCCUUACCUGAAUUUUUUUCCUCUCUUGCCUUUCAGGGAACUCCUAACUUUCUUUCCACUUUCAUACAGAAAAUAGCAAUGAAGGGGCAGUCCCAGUGACCCAGUGGUUUAGCGCCACCUUUGGCCCGGGAAAUGAUUCUGGAGACCUGGGAUCGAGUCCCGCAUCGGGCUCCCUGCAUGAAGCCUGCUUCUCCCUGUCUCUGCCUCUCUCUCUCUCUCUCUCUCUCUCUGUCUCUCUCUCUCUCUCUCUCAUGAGUAAAUAAAUAAAAUCUUUAAAAAGAAAAUAGCUAUGGCAAGACAGACCUAGCCUCUGCUCUCAUGGAAUUUGUAGUGGGGGAGGCAGGAGGGUGUGGGGGAACCAACAUGCAACAAAGAAUCAGACUUCCAUUCUAGCAGUAUAACAGACCAGAUACCCUGAGAACUAUUCCAUAAAAAAACACCUAAAAACACUAGCUCAAAUAUAAAAAGUAAAAGCAUUAAUUCAAAAACAUAAGGCUGAAAUUGGUGGCUGUUCUACAGACAUCUGCUAACCCCCAGAGACAGAGCUUCCAUCUUAAUCAUUUUUCAAGGACAGCAGACAAAGCCUAGGGCUUGUACAAAAAGAACAGUUGGAUUGGCCCCUGAAUGAGGCUAGGACUUCUGCAGACUUCACUCUCAGUGAAAAGGUAAAACAGAAAAUACCCACCCUGAGAAGAGAGAUGGAAAAGAAAUGUCCUGAUCUCAGUCAUAGCUCAGAAUAAAGGGGAAAAGAUCUCCCCUUAGAAAUCACAAGUUAGUCCUCCCAGGGGUUUAUAGCCUAAAUUCACAUUACCCAAAUUAACAGAAAUCCUUAAAGCUCAGAUUUUAUUUUAAAGUAAUUUACAAGUUGGAUACUAUUCCCAGGCAUUUGAAAGAAACAAACACAGGGACCUGGAUAGCUCAGUCAGGUAAGUGUCCAACUCUUAAUCUCAGCUCAGGCUUGAUCUCAAGGUUGUGAGUUCAAGCCCCACAUUGGGCUCCACAUCCAGCAUGGAGCUACUUAAAAAAAAAAAAAAAAGAAAAGAAAAAAGAGGAAUGCCUGGGUGGCUCAGCGGUUGAGCGUCUGCCUUCAGCUCAGGGCAUGAUCUCGGGGUCCCAGGAUCAAGUCCACAUUGGGCUCUUUGUGUGGAGCUUGCUUCUCCCUCUGCCUGUGUCUGCCUCUCUCUCUCUCUCUCUCUCUGUCAUGAAUCAAUAACUAAAACCUUUUUUA